UCCUGAUGAUGAAACACUGCAUCUUAUGUGUUGCAAGGAGCCAGUACCUGUAAAGGUGAACCCUCUGGUGACUUCAGCAUGGCAAGAAGAUAGAUGGUUCAGAGAACUGUCUGAUGGGG